rnacentral:rRNA from 1 species
GGCGAACGGGUGAGUAACACGUGGAUAAUCUGCCUCCGGGUUGGGGAUAACUGUCCGAAAGGAUAGCUAAUACCGAAUGAGAUGGUGAUUACAUAAGUAGUAGCCAUUAAAGGUGGGGACCGCAAGGCCUACUGCCUGGAGAUGAGUCCGCGGCUGAUUAGCUUGUUGGUGGGGUAACGGCCUACCAAGGCGACGAUCAGUAGCCGGCCUGAGAGGGUGAACGGCCACAUUGGGACUGAGAUACGGCCCAGACUCCUACGGGAGGCAGCAGUUAAGAAUCUUGCACAAUGGGCGCAAGCCUGAUGCAGCGACGCCGCGUGAAUGAUGAAGGCUUUAGGGUUGUAAAGUUCAGUAAGCAGGGAAGAAUAAGCGCCGGGUAAUAUUCGGUGUGAUGACGGUACCUGCCUAAAGCCCCGGCUAACUACGUGCCAGCAGCCGCGGUAAUACGUAUGGGGCGAGCGUUGUUCGGAAUUAUUGGGCGUAAAGGGCGUCUAGGCGGGGAUUUAAGUUAGGCGUGAAAGCUAUGGGCUCAACCCAUAAACUGCAUCUAAAACUGGAUCUCUUGAGUUCGGGAGAGGAGAGCGGAAUUCCAGGUGUAGCGGUGAAAUGCGUAGAUAUCUGGAAGAACACCAGUGGCGAAGGCGGCUCUCUGGCCUAGAACUGACGCUGAAGCGCGAAAGCGUGGGGAGCGAACAGGAUUAGAUACCCUGGUAGUCCACGCUGUAAACGUUGUAUACUAGGUGUUAGUGGCUUGUCCACUAGUGCCGCAGCAAACGCAUUAAGUAUACCGCCUGGGGAGUACGCCCGCAAGGGUGAAACUCAAGAAAUUGACGGGGGCCCGCACAAGCGGUGGAGCAUGUGUUUAUUCGAUGAUACGCGAGACUUACCUGGGCUUGACUGUGCAUGACCGGCGUAGAAGAUACGUCUUUCCUUCGGAAAUUGUUAUAGAGGGUGCUGCAU